rnacentral:rRNA from 1 species
UUAAGUCCCGCAACGAGCGCAACCCUUAUCCUUUGUUGCCAGCGGUCCGGCCGGGAACUCAAAGGAGACUGCCAGUGAUAAACUGGAGGAAGGUGGGGAUGACGUCAAGUCAUCAUGGCCCUUACGACCAGGGCUACACACGUGCUACAAUGGCGCAUACAAAGAGAAGCGACCUCGCGAGAGCAAGCGGACCUCAUAAAGUGCGUCGUAGUCCGGAUUGGAGUCUGCAACUCGACUCCAUGAAGUCGGAAUCGCUAGUAAUCGUGGAUCAGAAUGCCACGGUGAAUACGUUCCCGGGCCUUGUACACACCGCCCGUCACACCAUGGGAGUGGGUUGCAAAAGAAGUAGGUAGCUUAACCUUCGGGAGGGCGCUUACCACUUUGUGAUUCAUGACUGGGGUGAAGUCGUAACAAGGUAACCGUAGGGGAACCUGCGGUUGGAUCACCUCCUU